GACGAACGCUGGCGGCGUGCCUAAUACAUGCAAGUAGAACGCUGAAGGAGGAGCUUGCUUCUCUGGAUGAGUUGCGAACGGGUGAGUAACGCGUAGGUAACCUGCCUGGUAGCGGGGGAUAACUAUUGGAAACGAUAGCUAAUACCGCAUAAGAGUAGAUGUUGCAUGACAUUUGCUUAAAAGGUGCAAUUGCAUCACUACCAGAUGGACCUGCGUUGUAUUAGCUAGUUGGUGGGGUAACGGCUUACCAAGGCGACGAUACAUAGCCGACCUGAGAGGGUGAUCGGCCACACUGGGACUGAGACACGGCCCAGACUCCUACGGGAGGCAGCAGUAGGGAAUCUUCGGCAAUGGACGGAAGUCUGACCGAGCAACGCCGCGUGAGGGAAGAAGGUUUUCGGAUCGUAAAGCUCUGUUGUAAGAGAAGAACGAGUGUGAGAGUGGAAAGUUCACACUGUGACGGUAUCUGACCAGAAAGGGACGGCUAACUACGUG
rnacentral:rRNA from 1 species